rnacentral:lncRNA from 1 species
AAGGAAGCCAGUACAGCAGCAGGAGUGAGAAGAUGAGAGAAAAGAAGGAAGGGAGGAUACUGCCUUGCACUCCUAGUAUUGGAGGCCUCUGAGCCUCCUGUUGGGAAGAACAGAGGAAAUUAGAAGCUGGUAGUUCUGGUCUCCCCUUCUGCACAACCCGCCAUGGCCCCCACUCCCAGAUCCAGUAGCUCACAGAGGAGCAGCAUGGUAGAGAAAAUCAGAUGAUGACAUCAAGAAACCAGGGUAGGUGUGUGGCCUCAGGAUGUUUUGGAGGCCCACUGAGAGAACUGAUGUAAAAUGCUCUAAAGAUGAAGAGAAUUACAACAAAUCACUCAUGGAUGGAGGCAGAACAAGUUCAGCUCAGCUUCAUGGGACUGGCCAGUUCUUACUGUGGUCCUAGGAGGUAUUGGGGACCCUUUUUGGCAUGAGAGUUGCAGUGGCACUGAGAUGACAGGAAUAAGUGAGCAAAGCCUGUUUGAGGUCUAGGAAGAAGAGGUGUGGUAACGGUACCUUAAGAACUGGAGAAACUUCUGGACCUUCACUGCCAAUGCACAACCAUCACCGCCACCAAGCUUCAGCAAUCUCUCCCUUGGACAGCUACCUGCUGUGAAAAUACUUGCUUAAUGUAGUUCCUCUUGAAAAUGUUGUUCCUGCAUUAUGACUUUCAUUACACAUUUCCCAAUGAGCUUUGUUUGGUUAUUUUACUUGUGUUUCUAUUGACAGGGCAUAGGAUGAAACACCUUCUAAUUACCUCUGAAUAUCUUUACUGGUUAUCUAUGGCUGUGUACAAACCAUCCAAAACUCAGUGGCUUAACACACCCAUUUACAGAGGUCAUGAUUCUGUAGGUUUGUAUUUGGGCUAUCUUCAGGCAGGCAGUUCCACUGCUGAUCUUGGCUGGGCUCAUUCACUUUGUGUAUAGUUUUGAGUCAGUUGGGAAGCUCUGCUUUGGAGAUAGGCUGGCUAUCAACUCUGUGGUUAUGGGUAUCAACUGAGCCAUGUGUUUUUUAUCAUCUAGGAGGGUAGUCUGGGCUUGAGCACAUGAUGGUAGUCUCAGUAUUCCAAGAAGAGCAAGAGAUGUAGCUGCAAUGCCUCUUGAACUAGGCUUAUAACUCACCCAGUGUCAUUUAUAUUAUUGGCCAAAGCAAGUCACAAAGCCAGCCUGAAAUGCACUCCACCUCAUGAUGGGAGAAUUUGCAAAGUGCUGUGGCAAUUUUCCCAAUAUGCUUCAAGGUGUAUAAACUUUCUUCCAUUAAUCCUGGCAUAUGCAAGGAGGAAAGAAUGGAAAACAUUCCAAAGAAAGUUUUUGUUAUUGUUGUUAUUUUCUAUAACCAUAACAAAUACUGGAAGCAUGAUGAUUCCCUAUUGUUUACACAUUAUCAUUAUUAUUUAUUGAGCACCUCAUAUGUGCCAGAGACCAGUCA